rnacentral:lncRNA from 1 species
UUUUACUCCUUUUUGCUCUUUUACUACUUAAGAAACAGUAGCUUCCUUGCCUCCAUAGGAUCAUCUGAGAAGUGUGGUCAUUCAACUUGACUGGAUUCAGCUUUUUUUUUCUUUUUUUUUUUAUGGAGCGGAGGCUUACUUGUGCAUUCAGCAGUUUAGAACACUUUCAUCUUAUAUGCUCAUCCGCACACAGGAAUGAUGCAAAAUAAUAACUUAAUGUUUCCCAGAGUAGGUAACCAGGUGGAGCCAAAGCUCUCUUUCACUGCAUGUAAGCAAAUAUUUCUAUAGAAACAACUGAAGCAGUAUUCUUCUUGCCUGCUUAGCACAAUCUGACAGAAUGUGUAUCUGCCUGUCAAUAACCAUUCCUUUCUGUUUUGCUCUCCCUUAAAUUGUAUCUGUUCUCUCAUUUUUUGCAUGCUUAGUUGGGGAGAGCUGGCUGAACUUCCAACUUCGUGCAGUUAAGUACACUAAGUUAGGAAGUGCUGAGUCACUGUGGUACAGCUGCUACCGGCUCCCUUUUGAAGCAGAUGAAACGUUACUGAUGCCAGCUGGACUUGGAUCCUUGCAUUCAAAGUACUCAUUCUCAUAGUGUACCUUGCAUAACUGUGCAACCAUUGACACAGAAGGAAUUAUGUCCUCUCCAGUCCACUGCAGUUUUACCACUUUAUGCGAGAGAUUUUUUUCCUUGAAGCCUUCUGUACAGUCAUGCCUACCCACCAAACUCAGUGUUUUUACCACUGACUUUCUAAAACAAAAACUCAAAAAGAUGACCCUUGACAUUAAUUCUGCAGUAUCCUGGGACCUGAUUUGUGAUUUCUAGAAAUAGCACUCUUAUUGUGCUUAGUUGUAUGAGAGAAUCCUUACAGGUAAAUUGAGCUGCUGCCAGAAGAGAGGAGUGAUAGCAUUAAUUAAUUUAUUUUGUUCUACAAAUACAGUACAAAAAUAUACUUUCAGAUAGUUAAACGAAAGCCAUUUUCUUGCAUUUAAAGCCUUUCUCUGUAACAGCAUUCAGCAACAAGUAGACUGGAUUCACCUUUAUUUUUAAAGAGACAAUGUAAUUUCUUUUUAAAAAUACAGCGAAAGACAAAACAGCAUUUCUAUUGCAAAACUGCAGGAAGAGCUUGUAUAGACUUAACAUUCGUCUCCUAACAGUUUUUAACUGUUUUGGUACUGGAUAGCAUUUACAAAAGCUGAGUCUCACUGACUUUCAUUUCUGACAAUAACACUUGGCCCAGAUCUACGUGUUUGGUUCCAGAAUAAAACUAAACAUUCCUGACAAAACAAAACUGAAACAAAUGUGUAUAUUUUUGAUUGAUUUAAGAUGACAUAUUUAAUCUUAAGUUUGCAGUGAAGACAGGGCUGCUUCUUUAUAAUGCAUAAGAUAUCUGAAAGUAAAGGAAGACUCUAGACUGAAAAGCCAAAGUUGAGUUUUCACAAAAGGCACGUAUUCUUUACAGAGGAAGUUUUCAGGUUCAUCCAAGUCUUGACUGCAUGCUGCACUCCACACAAGGUAUUUCCACACAAGUUAUUUUCCCCCUCUGUGAUGGUGAGACUAGAACUCUACUCACUACUGAUUUGGAUAAAGUGUGAAUUACAACACCAGAGGAUGUAGUAGUCUCUUGACUAGCUUACCACAGACUGUUGAAUAGCAGCUGCAUAAUUCAGUUCUGGGCAAUUAGGAAAAAAAAAAUAAUGGUGAGGAGAUAAUUGGGAAGAGGCAGUGCUAAUGGAAGAAGUGCCUCAGAAUGCAUUUGUUACAGUGUUGAGUGAUACUUACAGAGGAGCACAAAAAAGCCCAGCUGUGUACAGAUGGUGAUCUUGGAAAGUACAGCUGCACAUCUGCUUCUCCUAAGCUCAAGGAUAAACAGAUGAACUUAAUUACCCACAAUAGCAAAAGAGAUUCCUGGUGCUGAAUUAGGGAUAGCUCAGAAAUGCAAAUGUACAGAAGACUAAGUCUUUAACUGGCGUAGGUUACUUUUGUUGUUCUUGAAUUGGGAAAAGUUGACAGUUCUGUUCUUGAAUUGGGAAAAAGCAAAGAAAUGCUUGUACCUAUCACAGUUUUUCAAAAGGAAACAACUGUGCUGCUUCUUCCUUCUUUUCUUGCUUGCUUUUUCUAGUUGCCUUCUCUUUCUGCUUCUCUGCCUGGCGAUUUCGGGGCCAAAAAAUUUCCAUGCCUCCUCCUGCAGUCCCUGAACUCGGGCCUUCUUCAUCAGAGGAGAAUCCUCCUCCUUUCUCUGUCUCAGGUGCUGAUGGCUCAACCUAGAAGAAAAAAGAAAAAAAGGUAUGAAAAUGGAAAAGGAGCUCUUAAUCAUUUGUAGCUACUCCUUUCUAAAAAGGCUCAUUUUCUAUCACAGUGACUCUCAGUGACGUCCCAGAAGUUGGAUGCUCUGGUUUGGGCUUCUCACCCAAAGCAGUGUGCUUCUAUUUCUGGAUGUAAAGCACUCUUUCAACAACAAGCUAAGUAUUUUUGGUCAGAGAUGAAUACAAAUAAAGUAGCUUUAAAAAGAUUGUGCUUUUCACCUUUUUCAGUAAGGAAAAGAUUAAGAACUAAACCAUCUGACUUCAUAAAAAAAGAGCAGCCCACUGACCUUCUUAGCUAUAUCAAUGGCUUGGAGGAAAAGAUCCAGGAAGGGAGGUAUGUCAAAACAGAAAAGCAAUAUACAAACGAUGAUGCUUUGGGCAAACACUAGUCUCUUUUUAAGCAGAAUUAAUAUUUCAUGGACAUGAGCGUGUCGGUUUUCUGGUGUAGGCUUUUUUUAGUUAAGAGGAAAGAGAAAACUUCAGAAUGUAAUUGCUUAUAAAAAAAAAAUCUGUGCUCUUCUGGUGAACAAAUAACACAUUGGAAAUACUAGAAAAAAAUUCUCUUGGUACAGAAAGCGAAAGCACUAACAGAGAUGCAGAAUACCUUGAUGGAGUAGCGUUGCUUCAGUCUCUCUCUAAUGAGAAGUCCUUUUGUCAGCAACUUCCAGUUCCCCAGAGCUCUCUUCUCACGCUUCUGUUUGUUAUCGUUAUUGAAAAGAAAAAUAAAUACUAUUUUAAGUUCCAACGUAUUAACAUUCACAGAAGAUAGAAGUUUAGAGACUUUAAAAUGGAACUGAAAAGAAAAGAAAAAAAAAGAACCACAACUCAACACCACCACCAACUUCAGUGUGUCACAUUAAAAGAUUAUAGGCUGGUAGGAUUCUUAGGAAUCAAGUGUAUUGGUGACAACGUAUCCGCUAAAUAUAUGAGUUACUGUCACUUCCUAAUGUGUGUACUGACUGUGUAAAUUACACUGGAGCCUCCUUCAGAAGUUAACCUCAUGCAUGUAUGCUUUACUUUUGUUUCUCAGCAGCUAUGGAAAACUAUUCCAAAGUACCCUCUAUUUCAGAGAUUGCUGCACACUUGUUUGCACUGCAGUGCAAACAGAUAGCCCCAAAUGAAGCAUUUGGGGAAUGCAAUUUGUCUCUCUCUGUCACAGAGUUCUGCCUGUUCCAUAUACAGCCUACCUUUGAUUGUCUACAGCUUAAAUUGAAUUAAGCAGUAAUAAGGUGGCUGCAAAAAUAAUUCUCACCUCCUUCUCCUUCUUUUCUAUUUCUGCUUGUUCAUUCUCCCAGGCAGCAAUGAGCACCUCUUUAUAUUCUUCACAGACAACAUAGCCAUCAGUACUAGGAAGAAGAAGAGAAUCCCCUGUCAGCUACUAGAAGAAAAAAGAAAGGGAGCAAAUGCCUGCUGACCCCACCAAACCAAAAGCUGCUGACAGAACAGGCUAGUUGUCUCACAGGGUGUAAAUAUGUAAUUUAUCACCUAUUCCACCCCCAAGUGCAGACCCUUUGAGCAUAUAAAGUCGCUUCUGUAUGCCAGGGCCAUUGAUGCUACUACCACAGGUAGCACAGAAGAGGAGGAUGUGUCCUCCAUAGCACAGAGUAUAGAACUCUUGUGCAUGACAUCAAAAUUCAUCACCUUAAAGCACCUUUACAUACACUGCGUGUGAGUAGCCACCAUGAAAGUCAAAUCCAGUGACAGCCUGAGCACAGUCAAUGUCCAGCUUCCGUGCCAAUCUGUUCAGGUUGGGGAGUCUAAGCUGCACACAACCAAUGGGUAACAUAGAGGGCAGGAAGAGAUAGACGUUUCCAUAUUCAUUCCGAGGAACCUAUUAUUGCAAAAUGAAAGAGAAGUGAUGACACUCCUGCCUUCUGGAGAGAGGCAAAAAUCUCUGCUGUAAUUCAAGGUCUCUCUCCCGUGAUUCUGUGAUUCUCCUCUUUCUGACCUGCUGCAUUCUGCUCUGGUGUUCUAUUAAUAUUCACAUGACAAGGCACAGGCUAAAUUUUAACUGCAUGGUUGUCUCCUAAUUAUGUUCUCUGACCCGGCCUCGUUACUCUGGCUGUAAUGCUGAGAACUAGCAAAACAAAGAUGAAGUUGGAAAUUAGAUAGAUGAGGAAGCUGGACUUAGGAGUAAAAGGCAUCAAUGAAUUCCUUCCUGAGUUUAUUUACCUCAGAACUCUUAAGCCUGAAUCCAGAUGUUACUGACUGAUCUCACCUUUGAAAUGUGCAAUUCUCAAAAAACAAAGCCCACAGCUUCAUAAGAAGCAGUUCCUUUAACACCAGCCCUCUGCUUUCCUGGCUACCUUUCCAUCCACUGCUAUGGGCGGUUGAUACUCCUCUGUCUGCCAGCGACCAAACAGCGCCAGGUCCGCUUUGUCCCGGUUUGCAGGCUCUGCAAGGCGUGCCUUCCUUGCCUGGUUGGAAUAGCCCUUCACCAUCUGUGCAAAUACAAUGAUCAAACUUGUAACAGCACCGAAACAAGCUGUUAGUGAUUUCAGACUUUCCCAGGACAGCAAAGGAGAAAACUCUGAAAAAGAAAUAAUGCCUACUUCCCGUCUUUGGUAUUUAUUUCUUAGAAAUGGUAACCCACAGCUACUGUGCACCAGGGAGCUAGAUUCUCAGCUUAAGUGAAAGUCGUAGGAUGCCUUUGAAGAAGAUGAAAAGGGUGCAGUUCUACAAGAUACCCUUGAGGUACAGGCAAAGUGGGUGAAUGGAAUCACAACACAGCUACCACAUCCAAACAAGAAACCCACAUCUGCUAACAGAAAGAAGACAAUUAAAAAAAACAAACCAACAACAAACAAAGCUAAGCUUGAAUUUCAGAGGGCAGAUGUUGCACAGGAGGAAGCCAAACCCUCUUACUUUGUAAGGCACUUCUCCAAUCCUCACCACUCGAGCCUGCUUAAGCCAAGUGUCCUUGGAGUGGAGUGUGUGUACACAGUCCCUAAAAAGACCAAAAGAAAGCAAAGUCUUGCAUCAGAGACUUCCAAACUGUUAUUCACAUGCUAGGAAUGGUUUUAAAAAGAAAAAAAUAAGUGUACCUAAGUGGUAUGCAAAUUCUGUCUGUGUAGCCAAAUGUCUCAUGCUGUCUGUGCAUGUGGCCUGUGUCUGCUGCAAAUACCACUGUGGUCAACAUGCCAACUAGCUCUAAUUUGUUACAGAGAUCACAGGCACACACAGCUAUGUGCAACACUCACCUCGAGUAAACAGCCUCUCCCCUGCAGUACCCUAGGAUAGCAGCUGACUCAGGAUAGAUGGCCUGAUAUUUCAAUAGAUGCCUCUUCAGUGCAUACAGAGGGUGGUUUUUGUACUCUCCAAUUGCUGUUGGUAGAGGCUGAUCCUGAAGCUUAACCUGAAACUAGGAAUUUUGCAAAAAGAGAGUUAUUUCACAACUACCUUGCACUAGCCUUUUAAGGAAUUAAGAAUGAUUAUAGCCUCGAUUAAUGGGAAAAAAUAUUAGGAAAAUAAUUGAAUGAACCAAGGGACCAAAGCAUUCUUGUUGCAAAUAGACAGUUAGCUGUGCACCCACAUCUGUAUAUCUUAAAGAAUCUGUCCAAGUGGAACACCAGGCUGUACAGAAGCCAUGUCAUUAAGUUUCCAACAUGGGCUGCCCAGUGCUUUUGCUGUCCAGAUUUCUCUAAACAGCCUCCAUUUGAUUAUUACUUUAAUCUUAUCAUUGUAUAUUCCCUUUAAAAGUUGCUCAUUCUGAAUAUUUCAAGCUCAAAUACAAACCUCCUUCCUCAUGGAACCAUUCCUAAUGAUUUUUGCCUGAAUGGGAAUCCAGGGACUCGACCUAUGCUAUUAAGUGUCCCACACAGCUUAUUAUCAUUUACCUCCGUUUCCUCCUUCUUGUCUCUGUCCACAAAGGGACUUUUAUAUGGCUGCAGUGUGUCUUCCCACCACUCAGGGUCCACACGUUUUUUCCUUGUCAUCGUCAUCCACACUGGGUCAUAUCUUUGUGUCACAUCCUUGACGCUCCCAUCGUUGUCAAAUCCCACAAUGUAGGAAAGUGGCUUUGUGGCAUAUGUGAAGCACUGCUGGGGUUGGCCAACAAUGCCAUGAACACAGUCUACACACACCCACCUGUCCUCACGUUCAAGGAAAACCUCUAGCCACUGGUCUGUGCCAACCACUUUCCGUACCAUCUGCUGCCCAUCAUCCUCAUCACUAGAAAUUAUUUUGUUUCUCUUUCUCUGUGCAUGAGGUCUUGGCUCAACUCCCAAAGAAUUUCUGGAUAGCCUUGAUUCUGAAGUCUCACUUUUAGGGCUUUUUACAGUCAUUACCUUUGAUUUCUGGGCACCUUGUGAGCUUCUCCGCUUUUUAGAGACAGUUUCAAAGUCCUCAUCAGAGAUAUCACUUUCCUCUCCUGAAAUCUCAAAGUCAGAAACACUGCCCUCAUCACUUCCACUCUCUUCUUUGUAACACACUUUGGAGGCCACUCGUCUCCAGCGACUGUUCUUAGGCCUGACCGGCACAUCUUUUUCCCUUAAACCACUGUCCACAUUCCUAGUUUCUUUCUGUUCCCUGUUGCCUGCUGUCAGUUUUGACUUGUGUGUCCUUUCGGUCUGAGCACUUUUUGUUUUCUUUGACUCCUCAUUGUCUUCUUCACUCCCCGAUGAUUUCUCAUCCCGUUUGGCUUUUUUGCAGGGGCACUUUUUUGCCACAGCUUUUGGUGUUGUGCCUGAGCUCUCCUGCCCCUCAGAGGUACUGCUGAGCGACUGCUUCUUGGAUGUGCUUUUUUCCUGCAAAGAAAGAGGCUAUGUCACUUUUACCAUGCCUAAGAAUAUGAAAAGAAGAAGGAAAAAAAAAAAAAAAAAGACUGAGGUCAGCAUAAGGUAAAUACAGAUCAAAGGCUGGCCAGCAACACGGUCAGUUUGCUUAUCUUAGGGACUUGAAAACUUCAGGCAAAUGACUGAAGAAAGAUGUACUCCAGCAGUAUUUGCUGUGAAAGUUUUAAAGAAACUUAAAACCACUAAAGCAUGAGAAGUCUUUGCUUAAACAUACAGAACAGGGGGUGGUUAGUUUUUGUUUUAAAAAACAGGAAACCUAAAGAUUAAGGAUUUGCAUCUGCUGCAGUAUAGACAAAAAACUGUCAUAAUAGUGCUUUGUGCAGUAAGUGAUUCACCUCAAGUUACAACAGCUAAAAAGUUUUGUUGCUCCUUUUGCGGAGCAACUAAUUAGGGAAUUUUACACACUAAAUAUUAACUACCUUUGCCUUCGUCUCCUUGAGAGGAAUGGGCUGUAAGGACAGCACGAGGCGACACAGCAGCUGCAACGCUCUGAGAAUAAUUAAAAAUAUCUGCAAAAGAUAAAAUAAACCAGGGUCAAACUUUGGUUUUUUUAAGGUAUACAAAAAAAAAAAAAAACCUUGAAACUCUUUCACAUCCUGGGCUCUGUCAGAAACCAUUUUCAUUCCUGUCUUUUAUCCAGUGCUGUAGACACUGACACAGAUGUGUAGCCCAGCUGCUAUUGCAUCAAAGCACUGUAGUCUUCCCUGGCUCUUAUUUUUGUUAAAGCAAUGACAGAGGUCCUGCUGUUAACUCAUAGAAGAACCACCAAAGCCUAAAGAGGCUAGAUGACUCACCCUGAUGGAGAAGUAGUUCUAUGCACUAUGCAAAGCCAUCCACAGAACAAGAUAAACCAUGCAGUGGUACCAACAAGUAGUAGAGGUUUCAGUUAGUACAGUUCAAACUGAAGAAUUUAAUCACAGGAUUCCAGAUAAAAAUACGAAAAAAAAGAAAAAAAACAAGGAAUCACCUAACUCACCAACCUGCUUCUCCAAACUGAUCCCUUAAACACCACUUUGUUCGCAUUGAUCUACCAUCCAAAUUCAGCAACCAACCCUGCACUUCCCAGUCACUUACAUGAACCAACUCUUCAUCAUCUCGUGCAGCAUAGAUGGCAAAGCGCCUCUCCAAGGUCGACUGAAGGGGCUCUCCUUUUUCAGUGGAAAGCUCAUCAUUGACUGUGAAGGUUCCAACAAACCUGAAACAUGAGAUACCUAUUUAUUGUCUGCUGCUGUGAAUGUACUCUUAAACUUCACAGUUCAUCCCUUCCUUCUUCACAAAAAAAACAGUCUUGUGUUUAAAAUAAAAUAAAAUAAAAAAAUCAAUGAAGAACUGUAAUUACAUGUACCCCUGACCCUGAACCCUGGCUCUAUAUUCUAUCUGACAGUAGGACUAGGAGAGAGUAUAUUACCAUUUCACCAAGUUGGAAAUGUAGAGAAGGUCCACUUGGCCUGCAGGAACUUUUGUGAAGUGUAUAGGGAUGAUGGAUAGACCAAUGGCAUGAAGAUCUGGCUGGCUGCAGAUCCUGUUCCUAUAGAAACCAUUUGCUAAUAAACACAAGAGAUGAACCUGAGAGAAAAAAGUUUCUAUAGUGAGUUCACAAGAGAUAUUCUUUGCUGGAACUAUUGUCCAUGGUGAUGACCAGGAUGCCUCUACUGCUCCUUUUAACAGAGACAGGUAACAAUGAAACCUCCCAAGCACAAAAAGGGUGGGCACAGGACUGACCAGUGUCCCAAGGCAGUAAAGCCUUGCAGUACCUGUCACUGUCUCCUGUUCUACAUCUGACUAACAGUUUAACCCAAGUAGAAUGAGCAGAUGCACACAAGAGGAAUAUAUACCCUACUCGAAUCUGCUUUCAUUUAGAUGUUUACUAAUUCAGUGACUGACAUUCCUAAGUUACACUUGAGGAGAAGGCCAAUGAGCAUCUGUCAGGAAUACAGCCUUUUUAUUUUUUCACUUCUAGCCACAGCCCCAAAUUAUUUUACUCAAAAACUACUUUCUUUUUCAUUACAUAUCAGUUCAGAAAUCUCAAGCACAAUUUUUUCUUUGUGACCAAUACCUUAUGUGUGUCCUCACGAACUUCCUUAGUGAAACGUUUAAUCAUUCUCCGAACAUAAGUCUCAAACUCAGCUUUCCUUUUCUCUCUGCAUAAGAUUAGAAAAUAAAAGGAUAUUACGGUUUCCUCUGUAUCUGCCUUCCUAGAUUCCUGAUCUGCUCUCUACUACCUUUCCAAUUUUACCUUCUCUCUCUUUUCUUAAGUUGUUCUGGGGUUUCAAUCUCUAUCUCAACAGGAUUGCUUGGCAGCACCACCGCUGGAAGAACAGCACCUUGUUCUAACUUAUCUGUGGCAGGCUCUUGGAGUUCCUCCACGUCCUCCCAUUCAUCUUCACUUUCAUCAUCGUCAUCAUCAUCAGUAUUGUCUUCAUCCAUCUCUUUUUUAAUAGGAGAUUCUCUCUUCAAUUUUAUCUCCUUCCGAGGGGCCUUCCGUGAGUCACUAUUAAAAUUACAGAAUUGGCUUUAGCAUCAGGAAGUGCAGGGGCUUGUUCAUUUAAAAAUGGAAGAGAAAGAAAACAAAAAUGAGGAAAUAAAUGAAGCAUCAUCUCUGCAUCAGUAACAACAGAUGCAAAGGUUUUGAGUAUUUGACAACUGAACCGUGUGUGUCUGUAAAGCCAGCAAUCUUUGCCAUGAAUAACUACAGGCUCGUUGAGCAACAAUGUUUCAGUGCAAACACACCUCCUGGUUCUAACAGGUUGUUUGAAUGAAGAUGACUGAACCUAAAUAAAGACCCAUCUUUCCUAACAGCUUGUAUGAAUGAGUUCAUUGAAUCAUUUGUCUUUGCUGAAACUUCACAGAGUACUGGGAUUGGAAAUGCUUGUGUUUCACCACGCUAACACCCAACAAUUUGGUUGGCCAAUGAAAUUGGACCAAUCAGUUUCAU